UGAGAUUACAAGUGCCCUGUGCACUUUGCU
rnacentral:piRNA from 1 species